GAUUAUAGUUGGACUAAGCUGUUUACAUGCAAUUCAGUUGUCCGAUUUUUAAAUCGGUGAUGUUUAUAUUAUGUCGUUGAAAUGUCUCGUAAUUCGCCCUUUAAUGUGUCUCCAAACAAGGUUAGCCAAAGCUGCCAAACAUUAGAAGAUUAUAUAGACAUGCAUCCUCACUGGAUGUGACAGCAGCUCUAGUUCAGAUACAGAUAUCCUAGAUUUAAGAAGCUGAAUCUGGUUAUUCGAAAGUUAAACCAAACUGCCACACAAUACAGGUUUCCCUCACACAUACAGCUUUAAUGGCUACCACCGUAUCCUAUCAAUGUUAGCAUAAAAACGCUUGGAGCUCUUUUCUCACAUUAACUGCGUGUUUGUAGG